rnacentral:rRNA from 1 species
UACGGAGGUUGAGAGCGUUACCCGGAUUUACUGGGUGUAAAGGGCGUGUAGGCGGUCUCUCAAGUCCGAUGCUAAAUACCGAGGCUCAACCUCGGGAGUGCGUUGGAUACUGUGAGGCUAGACGGUCGGAGAGGGCAGCGGAAUUCUCGGAGUAGCGGUGAAAUGCGCAGAUACCGAGAGGAACGCUAAUAGCGAAGGCAUACGCCUGGCGGAUUUGUGACGUUGAGGUGCGAUAGCGUGGGGAGCAAACCGG